GAUGAACGCUGGCGGCGUGCCUAAUACAUGCGAGUCGAGCGAACAGACGAGGAGCUUGCUCCUCUGACGUUAGCGGCGGACGGGUGAGUAACACGUGUAUAACCUACCUAUAAGACUGGGAUAACUUCGGGAAACCGGAGCUAAUACCGGAUAAUAUAUUGAACCGCAUGGUUCAAUAGUGAAAUACGGUUUUGCUGUCACUUAUAGAUGGAUCCGCGCCGCAUUAGCUAGUUGGUAAGGUAACGGCUUACCAAGGCAACGAUGCGUAGCCGAACUGAGAGGGUGAUCGGCCACACUGGAACUGAGCCACGGUCCAGACUCCUACGGGAGGCAGCAGUAGGGAAUCUUCCGCAAUGGGCGAAAGCCUGACGGAGCAACGCCGCGUGAGUGAUGAAGGUCUUCGGAUCGUAAAACUCUGUUAUUAGGGAAGAACAAAUGUGUAAGUAACUAUGCACGUCUUGACGGUACCUAAUCAGAAAGCCACGGCUAACUACGUG
rnacentral:rRNA from 1 species